rnacentral:rRNA from 1 species
UACAGAGGUCUCAAGCGUUGUUCGGAUUCAUUGGGCGGAAAGGGUGUGUAGGUGGCGCCGUAAGUCGGGUGUGAAAUUUCGGAGCUUAACUCCGAAACUGCAUUCGAUACUGCGGUGCUUGAGGACUGGAGAGGAGACUGGAAUUCAUGGUGUAGCAGUGAAAUGCGUAGAGAUCAUGAGGAAGACCAGUGGCGAAGGCGGGUCUCUGGACAGUUACUGACACUGAGACACGAAGGCCAGGGGAGCAAACGGG